CUACGGGCCGCUCCAGUGGGGAAUAUUGCACAAUGGAGGAAACUCUGAUGCAGCAACGCCGCGUGGAGGAUGACACUUUUCGGAGCGUAAACUCCUUUUAUAUAGGAAGAAGAUGACGGUACUAUAUGAAUAAGCGCUGGCUAACUCCGUGCCAGCAGCCGCGGUAAUACGGAGGGCGCAAGCGUUACUCGGAAUCACUGGGCGUAAAGAGCGUGUAGGCGGAUUAAAAAGUCAGAAGUGAAAUCCUAUAGCUUAACUAUAGAACUGCUUCUGAAACUCUUAAUCUAGAAUAUGGAGAGGUAGAUGGAAUUUCUGGUGUAGGGGUAAAAUCCGUAGAGAUCAGAAGGAAUACCGAUUGCGAAGGCGAUCUACUAGAACAUUAUUGACGCUGAGACGCGAAAGCGUGGGGAGCAAACAGGAUUAGAUACCCCCGUAGUC
rnacentral:rRNA from 1 species